CCUGCGGCCGCGCCGCGCCUUUGACAGGCAGUGUGUGGGAGCAAGUACGCGCCGCGUGCUCACAAAUGUCCUGCACGCCAGCAUAAGGCUCCUUGGUAAGGUUGUGCAAGAUGCAAGCAAUAGCUGUACCAACCGAAGGUGCUGGCGAUCUGGGGAGGGAGGAGGGGUUUACCUGGGUGGGCUGCUGGCCAGUCCAGUGACAGGCCCAGCAAUGGCCUCUACGGGUCCCAAGCAUCCAACCUCUAGAGCGCCCGUGUUCAAGGAUCCCACCACUGGCCCUGACGUCCUGCGCACUCUUUCCUGCUGUGGCCUGCACAAAUAGCAGGCAAAUUGGUGAGAGGAUGAGAAGGUUUUGGCAAUGGCAUUCGCAUCAAACAGGUGAAUGCUGGAUAGAUAAAGCAACAUGUAAGUGGUCCAGCCAGACCUGGUGGUGAGCAGGCUUGCGCUCGUCAUAAAUGCUCCUUGGCUUGGCAGGAGAGAGCCAAGGCCAACAAGCGCUGUGCCAAGCGUCGCAUUCAGCACCGUGGAUGCCAUGGUUGUCUGGUGCAGCACUUGCGUGACAAGAGUUAUCACACGAACAGCACUUCUGGGCACCUGGGUGUACACAACAUGAUAUGUGCCGUGCGCCAAUGUAAGCCAGCAAAGGGCGCUGGCGUACAGCAAGUUAAGACGCCCUAUAACGACUCUUCUUAUGCGCAAGCGUGCAGAAGCUGCAAAGUUGCAUAAACACUGCAACCUCUGGGUUAUAAUUUGGGACCGAGGAUUCCUUGGAGCUCACAUUGCAGUGACACCAUGAAGAACGUGAAACUGCUGAUAAUGGAGGUCUACGAAGAAACUUGAACAGCAAAAGAGGUAAUGUGCAUACCUGCAGACCAGAAGAAGGCUCAGAGCGAAGCGCACAGCAGGAGCUCAGCAGGUUUCAAUCUGUGACACCCUGCUGCCCUUGCGGGACGAUAAACGGCGCAGGAGCAAACGCCACUGCAAGCUUUGAAGGACAGGAACACCUUUCUUUCCC
rnacentral:lncRNA from 1 species